CGCCAAAUAACUACGAGUAAAAACUUAAAAUUUAAAAGACUUGACGGUGCUUCACAACAACCUAGAGGAGCCUGUCCAAUAACCGAUACUCCGCGAUUAACCCGACCCACCCUAGCCCAACAGUCUAUAUACCGCCGUCGCCAGCCUACCUUAUGAAAGAAACAAAGUAAGCCAAAUAGCACACACUAACAAGACAGGUCGAGGUGUAACUCAUGGGUGGGGCAAGAUGGGCUACAUUUUCUAAUACAGAAAAUACGAAUAAACUAUGAAAAGAGAAACUGAAGGAGGAUUUAGCAGUAAACUAGGAACAAACACACCUGGUCGAAACCAACGCAAUGAAGCGCGUACACACCGCCCGUCAUCCCUGUAAACACACAAAAACAUAAAUAAUAUAACAAACAAUUUUAAGCAGGGCAAGUCGUA
rnacentral:rRNA from 1 species